AAUAUAUAUGCUCUUUUAGUUCCCUUGGGGAUGAACUGUAAUGGCUAAACUUCUCUUUUCCCUUUGACGCAGGCAUUCAUCGUUCAUCCACAGUGUAGACGUUGUCAAAUCGCCACAGCUGGCUGGCUUUUCCAUCACACUGGCGCAGUCCUAAUUGAGCUUCCAUAGAUCUUCACAAGCCGUCCUACAAUUCCUACAGAAGGGUAAAGAACCAAGAAUGGAGAGAGACAGAGCAUGAACGGGGGAGGGGCAGAGAGAGAGGGAGACACAGAAUCCGAAGCAGGCUCCAGGCUCUGAGCCAUCAGCCCAGAGCCCGACGCGGGGCUCGAACUUACGGACCGCGAGAUCAUGACCUGAGUUGAAGUCGGACGCUUAACCGACUGAGCCACCCAGGCGCCCCUGCAAUUCUUAAAUAAGGACAUUGUGAGUAUACUGAGUAAGUUGGAGGUAAGUCUGGAAGAAAUUUCUGAGAGAUUGUCUUAGAGGGUAGAAUUGAAGUUUAUGCACCUCAUCUGGGGUUGCUCACAAGUGUGGUGGACAUUGGAUCCCAGUCCAAAUUCUGCAACUCAUUGUCUAUGUAGUCCUGGAAAUGCUUCCAUAUAUUCACAGAAGGAAAGGAUGAGAUGUUCCCAGAGAAUUCUCACUGCUAACGUUCUCUGAUGGAAACUGGACAUGCAUUAUAAAAUGGAGAUUUUACUUGAGCCAUUUAUAUAGAACCUCUGAAUUGUCAUGCAGCUGGAGGAAAGUGAAUAAAUCUUAAACAACCCACACAGCGUCCCUGCUUUCCGAACAAGAGAGUUCUUGGAAACCAAAUUCCUAGCAUCUGCAAAUACAACCCCAUGGAGAACCAAGUCACCAGCCACAAAGAGCCAUAGCUUCAGGCAUAAAACUACCCUGCAUUCCCAUUAAAAAUGCCCAUGCUCUUGGCUCAAAAUAUUGGUCUGCAUUUUAAAUUAUAUUUGCAUAUUGAUUUUAAGACUCUCUCACAACUCUGUAAAUAAAUCAAAUAAAUUAAUUAGAAGAACUGACUGUGGUAGCUCUCCAACCCAGCAGUGAAAUCACUCUCACAAAGUGCAUAGUUGAGCUUGUAACCAAUCUACAUAAUUGUGUCCUUGAUUGGGGAAGAUAAGUGUGCUUUGAAGGCAAUCCUCUGCUCCUUACUGGGCCUCUUGGAGAGACCAGAAGACAAUGUCAGAGAAAGGCCAAAGGACAUUUCUUGGAUUGGGUAUUUGGGCAUCAGUCCUUUUUCUGUAUGAGUUGUGGGGGAAAGCAUGCAUCCUGAAAAGGUAGCUUUGGAUUAAAAAUUGGAAGCUUUGCAUCACAAGAAUCAGCAUGAACUGCUUUGUAGAGUCUGUACAACAUUUUUAUGCUCUGCUUCUUCCUAAAAAUAGCAAUUACCAUCUGCAUUUUAUUUGUUUGUAUUUUAGGACUUUCUUCUGAAAGGGUUUGUGGCAGCUUGUGUGUACAUUCAAUUUUAUUGAACAGAAUAAAUAGCUAAGGACGCUGGGUCAAAGGGAAAGUCAGCUUAGGGAGUAAGAUGAAACCAGAAGUAAAAUUAGCAUAUGAUGCGUAGAUCAUGAAGUCUAUGCAAUUGCUAAAGUGAGCCACUCCGAUCUUCCUAGCAGUCAAUGUAAAGAAGGAAAUAUGACUAGUCAUCAGAAUCACAAUAUUCAUAGAAUAAGAACAUUCCAACCGUAUAAUCAAUAGAUUCCCCUGGUCAUUGUCUAUGAAACCUGGGAUCCAGGAUUUUAAUCUUUAUUAUUUUUUUUUCAGGGUUUUAAUCUUUAAACGGCACGUACCUAGAGAAAAAAAUGUGCAUGUUGGUCAGUUACGAGUAGUAUCAAAUGUUUUGACAAUCAAGAAAAUGUAAUAUAAGGGUUAUAUUCUCUUUAGUUUGAAAAAAAUUGUUAUGGUUCACACUGGGACUUAUGCCUGUGGAGAUCCACUCCACACUCACAGGGAGGUGGGCUGGAGUGGACCAUGGAUAGAAGCAAGGUUUUCCUCAGAAAACUGUAUUUUGGACAUAGAGACAUUCGAGCGCCCAGUGUUUCAGGUCCUUAGGGCAGUGAAUCUUAACUCUGGCUGCACAUCAGAAUGACUGGGAGCUUUGAACAACAUUGAAACCCAGUCCCCCAGGGGAUUCUCACGUGUAUCCAGAGAUGAGGACCACUGCCCAGGGAGUGGGUGGGGUUGUUUCAGGUGGGAAAAACCCAGGGUAGCUGCUACCAAUCAUCGAUCAUAGCCGUAGUUAGUAGGAUGCCCUUGCUAUAUCUGGCUGUGAAUGAUGGAAGAUCCUGGUGAGCAAUGAGGGAAAAUGUACCUGGAGAUAGUAAACCAGGAGUUGAUCUGUUGCAUCGAAUUAUUGGAACUUAGCCAGUUAGUCUUGGAAGACGUCUGCCCACAGGAAGGACUUAAGCCUUUUCAGAAUGGGGCCUCCUGCUGUGACAUUGGUUUGUAGAGUGACCAACCAUCUCAGUUCUAAGUUUCCCAAGCCAUGGGGCUUUCAUUGCUAAAACUAGGAAAUCCCAGGGAUAAGUUGGUCAUUCUGUUGGUUUGGCUUCUUCUCAAGGCAGCAUCAGAGAGUAGAAAGGGGUGACUUGGCCAAAGAGGAAGAGUCAGACCUGAGACACUUGGGACUUGUUCUGAGGCAGAGCAGGGCUGGGGCUUCCUGUGGGUGUUUAUCUGCUCAGCUGUGACCUCCUUUCUAGAGGGACUGCCAAGGGCAAUGUUCUCUGCCUUCACCUCUGUCCCUAUCUCCCUGGGACAUCUCUGUGUCCACUCCAGAUUCCAGUAGGGGCCCAGGGCUCUGGAACCUUUGGGGCUUCAGGGAAGUGGAACCUCCUCAAACCCUGAGAUCUAUUCUAUUGGCCUCUCCAGGACCAUGGCUCUCCUCCAAAGUUAGGGCAUGGGCUUUCAAGACUUUUGCCUGGAAACUUUAUCCUUGAAAAUCAAGUGGGCAGCCCCUGCAUUACAAACACUCAGAUAAUACAAGAUUCUCACAGGCAAACGGUGACCUGCUACCAGAGUUGGUUUUGUGGGCAUUCACAAGGGGCGCUGUGAUCACAAGGGCCCAUGCUUAGUUUAAUGUUCUGCUGUUGCCGUUUUGAAAUCUUUAAUAAUUUUUGAGCAAACCACCCCAUAUUUUCAUUUUACACUGGGUCCUGCAAAUUAUUUAGCCCACCCUGCCUGCCACCCCAGCCCAAAGGCAACCCUUCCACUUUCAUUCUACCCCAACAAAUUGCCUUCUGCGGCUUUCACCAGGGGCGCCAUUAUGGACAAGACUGACAAUAAAAUGGCAGAGAUUUUACCUCAGGGCCGGUUCCUGAGACUGUUUUACAGCACAUCAUUGUAUAGUGUUUCCAGACACCAUAUAUGUAAGUAACCUUAGGUACAUAGAUAAUAAUAAUAAAAUGUAGUCAAAUAAUUAGGAAGUGAUGAAUUUUGAGCACCCCAUUACCUUUUUUUUAAUGUUCAUGUAAGUAUAAAUUUAUAUAAUUUAAUUUUUAAUAAUGAGCAUGUUUAGCAACCAGCUAGCAAGAUUCCUAACAUUUAACAACUGGCUGUCAUGAGCCAGCACCAUUUGGCUCAAGCACGUCUCUACCUCUGAAACUGGACUCCAUGAUUAACAGUGCUGUGAUCAACCAACGAUGUUCUCUUAAGAGCAUAGAAGGGACAAGCGGUGGAACACAUUUUCUAGAAUGUCAGUGACUUUACGAAAACAACUUUUUUUUUUUUUUGUAAUUGCAGAGAGCCUGGAAAGGAAAUGGCACAUUUCUCCCUGGGAGGCAAUAUGUCAAUCUUGCCCCUCGUUUACAAUGCUUCUUCAGUGGUAUCUCACUGCGUUUCAUUGGCAUGGCCAAAGUUCUGGAAAGAAAGGAGUGGGAACAACCUGGGGAAGAAUUUCUCAUUUUUGCCCCAAGUUGCUAACAACUCCAUUAAUACUGUACUCUACAGAAAAGUCAACUGCUGAAAUGUGGGCGUAAAUACUUUUGCAGAUUCUUUUGCUUGAGUAGAGGGAGUGUUUGAGGUCUGAAUUUCACAGUUUAAUAUCUCACCAAGACUUUCUACACCAGCUUUCCCAUUUCUCUUUUGUUUUUCCUGGUGGUAUUUUCCAGCAGAUGAACAGAUCAGGGGUCUGCCUGGUUCUUGAAGGGAGCAGGCAACAGCUGCCUCAGUAGAAGCAUGAAGGAAUUAAUGUGACUUCCAGAGUGUCAAAAGUCUCUUAAUGAGCUGUUAGCAUUUGGUACAACUUGCCACAGUGGCUGUGACUUGAGGACUUCCAGAUAUUGCUUUUGGAGUUGAAAAAACUCCCUGAGAUCUAGGGCCCAAGCUCCCUUUCCCCCUCUCUGUCAUUAAAUAUCUGUGGUUACUGCAAGAAUCUGCCCAUAGUGGGUGUUUGAUAAACCUAUAUCCCAAGUUGAUCAGUUAGAGGGUGUGAGUUAUAGUGAAGGGAUAACCGUUCUUACCAAUUUUUUUUCAUUUCUUUAUUGAGUUACAAUCUACAUGUAGUAAAAUACACAUAUCUUAAGUGUAUAGCUCGAUGCUUUUUUGCAUAUACAUAUGUAAGUAUCCAUGUGACCACCACCCUAUCAAGAUGUACAUUUCCUUCACCCUAGAAAAUUCCCUUGUGUCCUUUUCCAGUCAAUACCAACUACCCCAGAGGUAACCACUAUUUUCAUCUUGUCAUAGGGCUGCCGUAAUAAAAUACAAUAGACUGGGUGGCUUAAACAACAUAAAUUAAUUUUCUCACAGUUCUGGAGCCUCCAAGUCCAAGAUCAAGGUUCUGGCCAAUUCAGUUCCUGGUGAGAGCCCUCUUCCUGGUUUGUAGAUUGCCACCUUCCCACUGUGUCCUCACAUGACCUGUUCUUUGUAUGUAUGUGAGCACUGUGGUUUCCCUUCUUAAAAAGACACUAAUCUUGGGGCGCCUGGGUGGCUCAGUCGGUUGGGCAUCCGACUUCAGCUCAGGUCAUGAUCUCGUGGUCUGUGGAUUCUGGCUCCAUGUCAGGCUCUGUGCUGACAGCUCAGAGCCUGGAGCCUGUUUCAGAUUCUGUGUCUCCCUCUCUCUCUGCUCUUUCCCCGCUAACACUCUGUCUCUCUCAAAAAUAAAUAAACAUUAAAAACAAAAAGAAAGAAAGACACUAAUCUAAUUGGAUCAGGGCCUCUCCAUUACAGCCUCAUUUAACCUUGAUUUCUUUCUUAGAGGCCCCAUCUCCAAAUAUAGCCACACUGGGAAUUAAGGCUUCAACACAGGAAUUUGGGGGGGGGGGGGGACACACAAACAUUCAGUCUAUAAUAGACCUCUAUCACAGAGUAGCAUUGCUGGUUCCAGAGUUUCAUGGAAAUGGAAUCAUACCAUAUAUGCUCUUUUGUGUGUGUUUCUUUUGCUCAAUGUCAUGCUUUUGAGAUUUGUCCAUGUUGUUGCAUGUGUCAGUGCAUCUUUCUAUAGCUGAAUAACAUUUUGUUGUAUAAAGAAACCAUAAUUGGUUUAUCCAUUCCCUAUUGAUGAACAUUUGAGUGGUUUCCAAUUUUCCAAGAGAUAUUUAUUCUUUGUAGGGCUCUGUGUUCGCUCCUGGGCUAUCAAGAAAUGUAAACUAUGUCCCUGCCCAUCAGAAGCUGAUGCUUGGGAUCUGUGCUUGAAAAACAGCUAAGAUUGCACCAACAUAUCAAACAAAAUAUGACUCUGACUCAAUGAACACAGACUGAGUCAAGGACUCAGAAGGAGGGAGUUUUUUAAGGAACAUCAGUACAGUCUGUUUGUAAAUACAUGCACUUAGAAGAUGAGCCAGCUUUAAAACAUCAGCUGCCGGAGAACCAAAAGCAACUUCAAGUGAGGUCGGAGCUGGCAGUUCCUGGCCUGGGAUCAUCGUUGCCCCCUCCUACCUUUCCAGAGCAGAACCUGGCUCUUUGCGGCACAACAGUGGGGGUAGCUUCUGAUUAGGAAAGAGAGCUCCAGUCAGGGUGGCAAAUUUGUCCCGGUAUUCCCAGAACUUCCUGGAUUAAAAAAUUGAAAGUCCCACAUCCCAGGAACCCCCUCAUUCCAGCAAGGAGGUAUUUGUGGAGGCUUCCAAGAAGACAAACUGAACAGGAUGGGAUGUUUGCUUUCAUGGAUCAGAAAUGAAUCACAUCACUUUCUUUCAGUAACGACACAGAGUUGCAGAGUCACAAGAAAGAAACAACAGAAAGAAAAUGUUUUCGGGGUGGGGGGGAGGUUGUGAAUAAAGGCUCCUGAGUGGAGACCCAGGAUUGUGAGGCAGAGAUUGACAGUGUUUGACUGUGGUUGCCUCUAGAAGGACAAUAAACUUGCCAUGCUUAUUUACAA